rnacentral:rRNA from 1 species
CUACGGGUCGCAGCAGUGAGGAAUAUUGCACAAUGGGGGAAACCCUGAUGCAGCAACGCCGCGUGGAGGAUGACGCAUUUCGGUGUGUAAACUCCUUUUAUCAGAGAAGAAAAUGACGGUAUCUGAUGAAUAAGCUCCGGCUAACUCCGUGCCAGCAGCCGCGGUAAUACGGAGGGAGCAAGCGUUAUUCGGAAUCACUGGGCGUAAAGGACGCGUAGGCGGGUUUUUAAGUCAGGUGUGAAAUCCUAUGGCUCAACCAUAGAACUGCACUUGAAACUGGGGACCUAGAGUAUGGAAGGGGCAGGUGGAAUUAGUGGUGUAGGGGUAAAAUCCGUAGAUAUCACUAGGAAUACCGAAAGCGAAGGCGACCUGCUGGGACAUUACUGACGCUGAGGCGUGAAAGCGUGGGGAGCAAACAGGAUUAGAUACCCGAGUAGUC